GGCAGAUGUUGGGUUUGGGGAUAUCAGGAAAUGGGCUCAGCACUGGUUCUACAAGAGAGAGGAACCAGGGAAGAAUGAAGGCCAGACCCAGGGUCCUGGAAGCAAGAAGUGAGGCCCUGGUGGAGGUUGUGAGCCAUGAGGUUUAACAAUUAUAAGGAAAACGAAGCUCAGAGAGUUUGGAUCUCUGUUUGGACAACUGAUGGAG